rnacentral:pre_miRNA from 1 species
GGGAGUGCCAGAUCCUGGGCUGUGUCCCCCAGCGCCCUGGGCUCUGGGGCCUGCACAGCUGGAAAUGCGCUCCCAGGUCCACACAGCCUCCU